rnacentral:rRNA from 1 species
UUGACGUUAGCGACAGAAGAAGCACCGGCUAACUCCGUGCCAGCAGCCGCGGUAAUACGGAGGGUGCGAGCGUUAAUCGGAAUUACUGGGCGUAAAGCGCAUGCAGGUGGUUUGUUAAGUCAGAUGUGAAAGCCCGGGGCUCAACCUCGGAAUAGCAUUUGAAACUGGCAGACUAGAGUACUGUAGAGGGGGGUAGAAUUUCAGGUGUAGCGGUGAAAUGCGUAGAGAUCUGAAGGAAUACCGGUGGCGAAGGCGGCCCCCUGGACAGAUACUGACACUCAGAUGCGAAAGCGUGGGGAGCAAACAGGAUUAGAUACCCUGGUAGUCCACGCCGUAAACGAUGUCUACUUGGAGGUUGUGGCCUUGAGCCGUGGCUUUCGGAGCUAACGCGUUAAGUAGACCGCCUGGGGAGUACGGUCGCAAGAUUAAAACUCAAAUGAAUUGACGGGGGCCCGCACAAGCGGUGGAGCAUGUGGUUUAAUUCGAUGCAACGCGAAGAACCUUACCUACUCUUGACAUCCAGAGAACUUUUCAGAGAUGAAUUGGUGCCUUCGGGAACUCUGAGACAGGUGCUGCAUGGC